CUAUGCGCUUGGGCAUUUACAUUUGAAUCCCAUCCUUGUUUUAACCCCAAACCUUAAUCUAAGCACAUGUGGGAACAGUAAAGAUACAUUCUGUUAGAACUUGGAGAAUCCAAUUUAGGAGAGAAAAGCUGCUCUUGUAAUUGAGUGGCAGGGAACCUCUGGCCUGGGAAGGAGUGCCAUUUCUCGUUAAGGCUACCUAUCUAUUGUGAUCAUCUUGAGAGGCCCCCUGUGUGUCCUAACCUCCCCUAGAAACAGCCUUAGUUGGGAUCAGGGAGAAGGUCUCUCCAUGGGCUCUGCCUGGGCUUUGGAUCUUCCUUCCAACAAAAGCCUGUCAUAUCUCCAGUUGCCUUUGAAAUUUGUCUAGGAUAAUAGUGUGUCUUCUGAGGUCUUUCCUGACGACCAGAGGGGUUUGUGUGGCUUUUUUUCUUUCUUCUUUUUUUUACAGUACACAAUCCAUGCACCCAGGACUCCAGCCAGCCACCCUGGCUCUCAGCCAAGGUCCAACAAAACUCUCAGGUCAUCACUGUUUUCAAUUGGUUUGUGCUUUUCAGUCAGGUUUUGAUACAGCACUAGGCGCAUUGUGCAAAGGCUGCAGUGCACCGCUAAGAGCACACUUCCCCUGGCUGUGUUGGGAAGCAGCUAGGAUGGACGAAAGCUUCCAUUCAUAGGAUGCUAAUAGACAGCAGAUUUCCAAUUGAUCUUCUGAAUGAAAACUCUUCCCUGUUCGCUAUUGGCUGCUUCCACUUCAUUCAAGCAGACUGCAUGGAUGCAUGUGCAGUUUACAGGUGUUUCCAUUUACAAAUCCAAAAAAGUAAUGAAGAAGAAUGGGGUUGUAUCGCUGCCUUGUUUCUCCUCUGAAGGCCCAGAAGGGAAGGUGCCGUCUGCGCUCAGGCACAGUGCUGAGCCUUAAUUGCUAAUAGCAAUUCUGCCUAAUUAGAUAAUUAGAUUAACUACCCAAUUAACGGAGAUUGUUGUUAGACAAAAGCAGGUGGUGGCUCAAAGGUGAUGGGAAAGAUGCUACUUCUCUGUUUUAACGCACCUGAAGUCCCGGGCCCUUCUGUAACUUUUCACUUAUGUCCUCUUCCUCGAGGGUUCUUUUGUUAUCUUACUCCAGGCAAAGAACUCCCACCUCAGAGUGGUCUCUCCACUCACCUCUGCCAUCAGAGCACUACAGACUUCCUCAACUUGGUCUUGGACUAGAAUUUCCAUCCCUCCCCUCCAGCAUAGCCUCUCUGCAUCCUACCGGUUCUUCAUAGAAUCAUAGAGUUGUAGAACUGGAAGGGAUCCCAAAGGUCAUCAAGUCCAACUCCCUGCUUGAUUUAUAUAAAGCUUUUGACACUGGUUGUUUUUUUAAUGAGCAAGUUAGUUUAUUAUUUUAGAUAAUGUGGUCCUUUUUAAUUGUGGCUGCCCAAAAGUGUCCUAAGUGUGCAAAAUGUAUAAAAAACAAGGGAGUGCAAGAAGGCUAGCUUAUGCAGAGUAGACAGAGCAAGAAAGGAGAACAUGGUCCAGUUAGGUUGGAGGGGGCCCAUACCAUCUUGUGAGUCCUUCCUGAAUGUCUGCAGGAUGGAUUGGGGACAGCAAUCUUCCUAAUAUUCACAAUGGCAGAGAAUGGCACCAUGCUGUGAUUUGUAGCCGGUGGUUACAAGCCACCCAGCGUUUUACAUUUCCCACAAUGCCUCAGUGUAAUGCAGUGUUGAGGAACCACCAGCCUGCAGCCGUAAUUUAUGACUGUCCUAAUUUGGCCAACGUGGCAGUUUUCCUUAAGCCACACCACCUGCAGGUGAAGACACAGCUCCGUGCCAGAAGUUUAUAGGCCAGUCAAGGGUCCUUAAAAAACCCCUGUGCCUUUGCCUAUGUAGUUUGAUUUCAAACCACCCUGGCAAAGGGAGUGGGAUUUGCAGGCACCACCAGUCAGUGGCUGCAAACCCUUGUUCCUGUGAUGGUGUGGUUUGAAGAGCAGCUUUAUGGGGUGGGACUUGGAGUCAAGAGAAAGAAUUAAGCCCUUCUUCCAUAGCCCUGAUCCAGAGGUGCAUGUGUGUGGAGGGCCAGCUUAUGGGUGCUUUUAAGGGGGGAAAGGCGACAUGUCAAGAGAGCCGAUGAUGGCUAGCCUAGUUUGGCCCUUGUGAUUAUGGGCAGUGGUGUAGCGUAGGGGGAGCAGAAGGGUGGUUUCCCCAGGCACAAAUUUGUGAGGAGCAGGUUCUGUCUCAAUACAGAUGCGCACUUCCGUCACUGGGCUUUGUUGAAAACAGCUUCUCCGUGCAAACCAGGAAGUGACCUCUCCAGACAAUGGGACAACUCUUCUUUUCUUAUCUCUGCAGCUGCUAUCUCCUGGGUGAUGUUAGGCAGUUGAAUGCACAUGCGUACUCUCUUUCCCUCCCUCCCACCCAACCCUUCCGCGUGGCUCUGGGUGCUGGCAACCCACGCUACACCACUGAUUAUGGCACACAGAAAGGAGAGAGUCCUUAGCUUGCAUUCAGGUUCCGGGUCCGGUCCCCAGUACCCUUCACUUCAAAAGCCUGAGAAAGGCUCCUGUGUGAGACCAUGAACAGCCUCUGCUGGGCUGGAUGAAGCCAUGUGUCUGCUCAUCUGCCUGUGUGUAAUUUCAGUUUGGACGCAAAUGCCACUCUGUUAAGAUUACCACCGGCAACCCACCAAGUGCUAAUGCCGCGCAGCCCUCCUUCAUUUAAAUAGGUCUUGUGUGAGAAACUCUGCCCCCUUGGGGGGGAAAAACAUCACGGAGGCUUUCUGCGUCAGCAGUAGAGUGUCUGGUGCUUUGCACCCCAAGCCACACUACAAGGCAAUGAGCUGCGCAAUAUUCUCCCCACAGCCCACGCUCUUUAUUCCUGUAAAAAUAAAUGCUAAGGAAGUCUGCUCAAUCUGCAGGGAUGAAAUUUAUUGCCCUUAAACAGGCAGGCAUGUCCAAAUCAAUCUUUCCUGAGCUCUUGUGAGAGCGCUAUUGAAAUGAAAAUGAUAAAAAGCUAUUUCCUUAAAGAUUCUCUAAAAACGAACUAUGAAUAAUGAUCCAUGUGACAAAUUCAUCGGCCAUGUGUCCCCCCCCACCAAGCCCUUUCUUGUGAGGAAGUGCGUCGUGGUCGUCUCUUCCCAAACCAUGAAAAUCCUUUAUGUUCGUUCUCAGGGCUAGAAGAGUCAGACAGGCUGACUCCUAAGCACCCCACCCUCUCCCAAAUGGGCGCAAUGUGUUCUCAGAUCUGUUGUACAGACACUUUUUCCCCUCCUCCCAGCUGGAGCAGAUUCAGAACUACAUUAAGAGAAGGCAAGGAUGUAGCUGGAGCCUCUGGGCUGAGGAAAGGCACCCUCUGAAUGUAGCUAGAAAAUCUCUCUCUCUCCCACAAACACACCUACCUUUUAAACUUCUACAUUUUGCAGAAAUUGUCAGCAAUUGCCCUUUACUGACAUGCAGAAUAGCAGCCUAGUGUUUGUAUCAUUGUUCUGCAGAUACUGGCUACAACCCCAUACAGGGGGCAGUAGGGUUAAGUCCAUAAAUCAGUGCCAUUUCAGCUGAACUGUUGAGUUGCUGUGGCCAAGAAGGUUUGUUCGAUUUGGGGUCAGUGUGUGCCUUUGUGUUCAAGGACUCACUUUCAGAAGUGCCCGGUUGCCCAAGACCUAUCGAAAACCAGUAGAAUCCUAUGUAUGGGUUGCACCAAAGUGAUCAGUACUUAAUUUGUGCUUUUAAAUGGCUUAAGUUGCCCUUCUCCUCAUUUCUUGCCUUCUCACCUGUAUUCUAUGCCCCUUGCUCUUUCUUUUUGUCUUUGUCUUUCCCUGUUCACCACAAACUAGCAAUUGCUGGUUCCCUUUUACUAAAAGUGCUCUCAGCAAAGCUUCUGGUUACUUUUGCCAAGACUCCUACUUGAUUCUCAGUGUCCAUAUUGCGUCUGCCGCCUGAGAUGCUGCCACUGUCAACAAUCUCUCUCUCUCUCUCUCUCUCUCUCUCUCUCUCUCUCUCUUUCUCUCUCUCUCUCUCCUUCUGGGACUCUUUGUUCUUCCCCUUAUCUAACUCCUUUCUCUCUUCUACAUACUGAGCUCAAUCCUUGUGCCAGCUCCUGGAGCCCCUUACUCCAUCUGCUCCUGUUCCAAACUUUUACUGCCUAUCAAAAAGGAUGGUGAUUUUAUCCCUCUUUGAGUCGAAAUGUGAAGGCAGCUAAGCACCUCAAACCAGAUCAGGACUCUCACAACGUCUUGCGUCUUUCCUGCCAUGUCUUCAUUUCUGUCCACUGGAGCCCUAUGUUUUUCCGCCUGUAUCUGGGUUCAUGUGUUUUUUAAAAAACAAAAAAUCAAAAACAAGAAGUGAGGCUCUUUAAAUGAUGACUGAGGAACACACAAGAGUUAGGGUGGUUUUGUUAUUCUUAAAGCAGAACAGUGCAGGAUUCCACACACACACUCCAAAAAAAGCUUCCUUUGAUUUUUGAUUUUUUGAAAGUAUCUACUGCUGUGCUUCAAACUCCACCUCUAAAUUGUUUUAAGGUAAGAAAGAGACAUAUUCCCACUCUCUUCUCCUUCUUGAAAUAUGAUACGAAUAUGGACUUUUUGGAGUUUGAGUUGGCCUAAUAAAGGUAUUGGCCUAAUAUGGAUUAGGGAUGAGAGUGAAUCCUUCUUACUUUCCCCAUAAGAGCCUCUGGACCUAUUUGUCUCCAAUCUGGCAGGCUUAACCCACUCUGCAGGGGGCCCAGUGCCUGCAAAUUCCACCCAUUUUUGCCAGAAGCCUUGCCGCGAGUUGGGAAGGGGGAGAUUCAGCAAAGGCAACACCCUUGCAAGGGGCAGUAUGGGACUGGAAGUGCCACUCCACUCUGCCGCACUGCCUCUGCUGCAAGAUCUUGGUGGAAAUUGGCGCUGAUUCCAGCACUGCUUCCAUGAGCAAGCGGGGCCCCCUCAGAAGCACUGUCUCGGGGAUUUCCACCCCUUGAAGCAGCUGUUUCUCUGCACCUCACUAUUGGUGGAAGGAAAAUUUAAUGCCAUUCCAUAUAUUUAAGGCACUCUUAUGCCACUUUAGCGGCCAUGAGUUCCCCCCAAAGAGUCCUGAGAACCGUCCUUUGUUAAGGGUGCUGGAAAUCACAGCUCUGUGAGGGGUCUCCUAAGAACUCUUAGCACCCUUAACAAACUACAGUUCCCAGGACUAUUUGUGGGAAGCCAUGACAUGCUUUAUAUUUAAAUGCUUUACAUACACAUUGUGGAUGUGACCCAUAUGUGAAUCACUUUUGGUUUCCACUUUUGGUAGUGGAAAACGAUGCUACACUUGUUUCUAUUGUGCAAUUGUCAUAGAGACAAAGGAACUAGACUUAUUUGUCCUUUCUAGGAAGUUCUCCAGAAUAGUAUGUGAUAGCCUUCCUGGUCAUUGACUUGCAAACUUCGUAUUCUCACCUCUGUAACAUCUGUAAGCAACUUUCACAGAAUUGCUAACGGGUGCUGGGGUUUUUAAUCAGCAUUUUUAAAUCAGUGAAGAACACAUUGUUACAGUGAGCCUUUCUGUAUUCUUAUGUUUCCAUUGUAUGGAAUAAAAAGAAUUGUUUUGG